rnacentral:rRNA from 1 species
GAUGAACGCUGGCGGCGUGCCUAAUACAUGCAAGUCGAGCGAACAGACGAGGAGCUUGCUCCUCUGACGUGAGCGGCGGACGGGUGAGUAACACGUGGAUAACCUACCUAUAAGACUGGGAUAACUUCGGGAAACCGGAGCUAAUACCGGAUAAUAUAUUGAACCGUAUGGUUCAAUAGUGAAAGACGGUUUUGCUGUCACUUAUAGAUGGAUCCGCGCCGCAUUAGCUAGUUGGUAAGGUAGCGGCUUACCAAGGCAACGAUGCGUAGCCGACCUGAGAGGGUGAUCGGCCACACUGGAACUGAGACACGGUCCAGACUCCUACGGGAGGCAGCAGUAGGGAAUCUUCCGCAAUGGGCGAAAGCUUGACGGAGCAACGCCGCGUGAGUGAUGAAGGUCUUCGGAUCGUAAAACUCUGUUAUUAGGGAAGAACAAAUGUGUAAGUAACUAUGCACGUCUUGACGGUACCUAAUCAGAAAGCCACGGCUAACUACGUG